GAGGUACUCCCUUCGUUUGAAAAUACUUAUCCAAAAAAUGGAUGUAUCUAGAUGUAUUUUAGUUCUAGAUACAACCAUUUGUAUCCAAUUCUACAAUAAGUAUUUUCGGAUGGAAGGAGUACAUG
rfam:Triticum urartu cultivar G1812 contig1146118, whole genome shotgun sequence.